rnacentral:rRNA from 1 species
UCUUUUUGGGUAUAAUUUAAAGUUUAAUCUGCUCACUGAGGAAUUAAAGAGCCGCGGUAUUUUGACCGUGCAAAGGUAGCAUAAUAAAUAGUUUUUUAAUUGGAAGCUGGAAUGAAUGAUUGGAUGAAAAAUUAGCUAUCUAUUGUUUUAUAAUUAAAAUUUAAUUUUUUGGUUAAAAAGCUAAAAUUUUUUUAAGGGACGAGAAGACCCUAUAGAUUUUUAUUUAUUUUAUUUAAAUGAAGUGUAAAAAUUUAUUAUUUAAAGAAAAAUUAAUUUUAUUGGGGCGAUAUAAAAAUUUGAAUAACUUUUUAAUUGUUAAAUUACUAAUAUGUAAUUAUUGGAUCCUUUGUUUUGGAUUGUUUGAUUAAAUUACCUUAGGGAUAACAGCGUAAUUUUUUUGGAAAGUUCAUAUUGAAAAAAAAGAUUGCGACCUCGAUGUUGAAUUAAGAAAAUAAAUGGGAGUAGAAAAUUAUUUAAUUAGUCUGUUCGACUAUUAAAUUCU